rnacentral:rRNA from 1 species
CCUACGGGUGGCAGCAGUGGGGGAUAUUGCACAAUGGGGGGAACCCUGAUGCAGCGACGCCGCGUGGGUGAAGGAGUGCUUCGGCAUGUAAAGCCCUAUCGGUAGGGAAGAUGCUAGCCGGUACCUGACUAAAAAGCCCCGGCGAACUACGGGCCAGCAGCCGCGGUAAAAGGGCGGGGGCGAGCGUUCUCCGGAUUCACUGGGUGUAAAGGGAGCGUAGGCGGGCAAGCAAGCCAGAGGUGAAAGCCCGGGGCGCAACCCCGGAACUGCUCUUGAAACUGUAUGGCUGGAGUGCGGGAGGGGCAGGUGGAAUUCCUGGUGUAGGGGUGAAAUGCGUAGAGAUCAGGAGGAACAC